rnacentral:lncRNA from 1 species
GUGAGGGAAGUUGAUGGAAUUUGGGAAUUUUUUCUAGAGCAAAGUUUACCCAAAUUGUGAGAGAAAGAGAGAGGAAGCAAGAAGGAAAGGAGAAAAAUAAAGAAAAAAGAGAAAAGGAGAGCGAAAUCUCACAACCAACCAAAGGAGAACACACAAGCUUAAGGUGAGUUUUCUCUUUCAUUUUAAAGGCAUUUCUCUUAAAAUUUUGAGGAUGAUUUUUUAGUGAUAUGAGUAGUAUUUUUUAGGUUAGAUAUUGCACAACAACAUCCUGGAACUCUGUCGGAUUUUCAAUAGAAUAAGCUUAGGAAUUUAGUCAAAACUCUACAGCUGUUAAAGCAACAUGUCCUAUAAGGUGUGUAGUUUAAAGUUUCUUUUCAAGGGAAUUAAUUUACCUAU